rnacentral:misc_RNA from 1 species
CUAAUUCUCUUUACAUGUUUCCAGGGUAAUAUUCAGUUCUUUGUCACUUUCACUAGUUAGAAACUCAACAUUCAAAUUCAGGACCUGAUUCUUGACAGUACGCGAGCUCGGGGAGUGGAUCCAUAAAACAAGCACAGGUUGGCUUCUAUGCUGAAUUGCGACGGAAAUUGAGUUUUUAAUCACCAAAAUGCAUGGUUUGAUUUGCUAGUAUUUGUAAACCUUUCAUGCUUACGUUCACUGUGAAUUGUAAUUGGGUUAAAGUUUAGGCUCAUAGGCUUGAUUGUUACUUGCCAUUACAUAGAUGGCCCAUUUACUUAGAUCUACCUUCUCUUUGCUAUGCCCUCAGGGUUUAGCUCUCCUUGACUAGCUUUUAGAUCCAUUGGGUUUGGCUCUUUUAGGCUCAAGUUACAGGUUUCACCCUUUGCCCACCGUGCUUUCGAAUCUUGGAUUUAGGCUCUUGGACAUCAAUGCUUUGAUACCAUGUUGGAAUUGAUCAACGACCAAAUAUUCCAAACACAUGCUCAAGUUCGUGGGCUCGGAGAUUGGAUUCAUAAAACAUGCAUAGGCGGACCUCUAUGAUGAAUUGGCCUCCCCACUACUAAAAUGACUUUAGUUUGAUUUAGUUGUCAACACUUGUAAACCCUUCAUAUGUGAGAUUUGUAAGUCAUAGUGGUUUGAUUUGGUUUGACAACACUUAUAAACCUUUCAUACAUGAAGCUUAUGUCUCUCAAGCCAUAUCCCAAGAGGUAGCGUGUUUUGACGAACAAAUUUAUAAUAGAGGAGCUUGCUAUAGAUUACAUAUUAAUUUUGUCAACCUCAUUUCUUAAUAUUAG